rnacentral:miRNA from 1 species
GACGUCGAUAUUCGACGUCAUAAACACGAUCAACUUUGGUGUUUAUGACGUCGAUAUUCGACGUCAUAAACACGAUCAACUUUGGUGUUUAUGACGUCGAUAUUCGACGUCAUAAGCACGAUCAACUUUGGUGUUUAUGACGUCGAAUAUCGACGUCAAAAACACGAUCAACUUUGGUGUUUAUGACGUCGAUAUUCGACGUCAUAAACACGAUCAACUUUGGUGUUUAUGACGUCGAUAUUCGACGUC